ensembl:lncRNA
GUCAGAGUUAGAGCCCUUCAGAGUCAGAGCCAGUCAGAGUCAGAGCCAGUCAGAGUCAGAGCCCGUCAGAGUCAGAGCCCAUCAGAGUCAGAGUUAGAGCCAGUCAGAGUCAGAGCCGGUGUCAGAGUCGGUGUCAGAGCCAGUCAGAGUUAGAGCCAGUCAGAGUUAGAGCCAGUCAGAGUCAGAGCCAGUCAGAGUCAGAAGCGGUGUCAGAGUCGGUGUCAGAGCCAGUCAGAGUUAGAGCCAGUCAGAGUCAGAGCCCGUCAGAGUCAGAGCGAGUCAGAGUCAGAGUUAGAGCCAGUCAGAGUCAGAGCCAGUCAGAGUUAGAGCCAGUCAGAGUUAGAGCCAGUCAGAGUUAGAGCCAGUCAGAGUUAGAGCCAGUCAGAGUCAGAGUCGGUGUCAGAGUUAGAGCCAGUCAGAGUUAGAGCCAGUCAGAGGCAGAGCCAGUCAGAGUUAGAGCCAGUCAGAGUUAGAGCCAGUCAGAGUUAGAGCCAGUCAGAGUUAGAGCCAGUCAGAGUCAGAAUUAGAGCCAGUCAGAGUCAGAG